AAAAUUCUACUUCCGCUGUAAACAAAAAGUAGAGAAAUAUGUCGACUGUUCAAGUGUUGUGUCCGAACGGUAGACGGCAAAACGUCAAGGUGACACCGAAUACAAAAUUGUUACAGGUACUAGAAGAAGUGUGCAAAAAGCAAGGAUUUCUUCCACCUGAAGACUUCACUCUUAAGCAUGGAAGAAAACCUGUGGAUGUCACACUGUCCUUAAGAUACUCCAACCUCCCUAACAAUGUCAAGCUAGAACUAGUGAAGUCAGAGUCUAGUCGAGCAGGAACAAGAUGUUCUGAUAGCCUUACAGCUGGAAGAUGGCCAGAGACUGCAGCACACAUUUCCCCCGGCUACUUCACUGUGGGACUAUAUUACAGCACUGGGAGAAUGCUGACAGUACACGCAAGGGAAACCUCUGCAAAGUCGAUCCCUCCACCAAGCCCUCCUACCCAGACAACUUGUAUCUACAUGAGGGAGGAGAUUAUAGGUGAAAUUGCACUACAAUCUAUGACUCUAAGGAAACUUGGUUUGACUGGUGGAAAAGCUGUUAUAAGGCUUGUACAUAGACCAGUGGAUGAUUCAAUAAUGGCUGAAAUUUUAGAUAAAAUAGAAAGAGAGAAAACAAAGUUACAGAAACUUGACUUGAUGGCUCAGAGGCAGCUAUCUCAACAGGAGGGGAAAUCUGAGGACCCUGUCCAGUCCAAGGAGGCUCAGUCAGUGGACAAGUCUUCAACAGCUGAGGACAAAACAGAGGGACCUAAGAACUCUGCUAGUCGAACAUCAGAGGCCAUGGAGGUUGAUGCAAAACAAAGUGCUUCUGUACCCAGUACAUCACAACAGCAACAGCCAAUGGAGGUAGAGGAUAAAAUUGAAACUGAAGGUCACAGGGCAAUGGCAACAGGCCAAGGUCAAGGUCAAAGUAAUCAGCAGCAAGAAUUUGCAGAGACAAUACGACAGAUGAAUAUUCCUGGAGUUCAGGUGUUUUCUCCUGGGGAUUUCCAUGAAUUAUCUGCACAGGAACAAGAGGUUGCCCGGCGUCUAGCAGCUCACUACAUGCCACUAAUGGGUUUACACCCUUCACCAGAUCAGCAGAAGGCAGCAGCAGGGUCCAAACCAAAGAGAGGACGACCUCAGGAAGCUCCCAUGUUUUCAGAGUUCAAGUUCCCAGAAGAAACAAAAGGAAAAGAGGUUUAUAAAAAUGAACUAAGUGAGGUUAACAGAGAAGAAUAUAAGCCCUGUGACAGACAAGCUGUGUUGUUCAAUGCAGAGGAAACUACAAGAACCGCAGCAUCAAAUGAAGAUCUCCCUGAUGAAUUUUUUGAAAUUAAUGAAAAUGACAUCAAGAGAAUGAUGGUGGAUCUACAAAAGAAAGUUGAAGCUGAUCAGCCAUUGCUCACACGGUCGAUGAUUCAGGAGCGACUGGAAAGUAAAUACGCCAAGUACCAGCAGGUGGUGGUUCGUGUCCAGUUCCCAGACAAGGUGGUGCUACAGGGGCUGUUCCGACCCAAGGAGACCGUAUUUGCACUACACAAGUUUGUAAGAGGCCAUUUGGAAGACAAAAGUCUGAAAUUUUAUCUAUACACAGCACCCCCAAAGCAGGUCCUAAAAGACCAAACUCUGACUCUUAUCCAGGCAAAACUAGCACCUGCAUCUGUGGUGUAUUUUGGAUCUGAAACAACUAAAGAUCACUACCUGUCAGAAGCUGUAAUGAAGGAAAUUGGUCCCAAGAGUAAAGCUGAGGACAUUGUAGAAAACUGUCUUUCUAAAGACGAUACAUCCACUUCAACUGGAACAGACUCUAACCCAGGUCCAUCUAAACCAAAACCCUCAAAACCCGCCUCCAACGCAUCCGGCGACCCCAAGAAGCCGGGCGUCCCAAAGUGGUUCACUGUCGGAAAGAAGUGAGGAUUUUUCAGUGAUAUCAGCGAAGCUGAAGUCAAGAAAUCUAAGUGCUGCCUCACAGUUCCUAUACACUGCGACUGCUUUUUGACAAUAACAGAAAUCAAUCAGACAUUGUCUGUCGAUUCAUCUUCUUGUUUCUCAUCCUUGGAGUCUCAAUAAAAGUGCUUUUCAUC
rnacentral:misc_RNA from 1 species